GUGUCAGCAGCCGCGGUAAUACGGAGGGUGCAAGCGUUAAUCAGAAUUACUGGGCGUAAAGAGCACGUAGGUGGAUUAUUAAGUUAGAUGUGAAAUCCCUAAGCUUAACUUAGGAACUGCAUUUAAAACUAAUAAUCUAGAGUCUCGUAGAGGGAGGUAGAAUUCCAGGUGUAGCGGUGAAAUGCGUAGAUAUCUGGAGGAAUACCUGUGGCGAAAGCGACCUCCUAGACGAAUACUGACGCUGAGGUGCGAAAGCGUGGGUAGCAAACAGGAUUAGAAACCCUGGUAGUCC
rnacentral:rRNA from 1 species